GGCUUCGUAGCUCAGUUGGUACAGUGCUUGCCGCGUUGAGGCAUGAUGUUUCUGCCACUGGUUCGAAUCCAGUCGAAUCCG
rnacentral:tRNA from 1 species